CCUACGGGUGGCAGCAGUGGGGGAUAUUGCACAAUGGGGGGAACCCUGAUGCAGCGACGCCGCGUGGGUGAAGGAGCGCUUCGGCGCGUAAAGCCCUAUCGGCAGGGAAGAAAAUGACGGUACCUGACCAAGAAGCCCCGGCUAACUACGUGCCAGCAGCCGCGGUAAUACGUAGGGGGCAAGCGUUAUCCGGAUUUACUGGGUGUAAAGGGGGCGCAGGCGGGAAUGCAAGCCAGGCGUGAAAGCCCGGGGCCCAACCCCGGGACUGCGCUUGGAACUGCAAGGCUGGAGUGCAGGAGGGGUAAGCGGAAUUCCUAGUGUAGCGGUGAAAUGCGUAGAUAUUAGGAGGAACACCGGUGGCGAAGGCGGCCUACUGGACUGUGACUGACGUUGAGGCCCGAAGGCGUGGGGAGCAAACAGGAUUAGAUACCCCAGUAGUC
rnacentral:rRNA from 1 species